rnacentral:ncRNA from 1 species
UAAGGUUAGAUUUAUUUUCUUUUAAUUAAUUUUUUACAUCUAUUAUAUGAAUAUUUGUUAAACUUUUAUUUUUCAGUAAUAAAUAUUUUUAAUUAUUCUUAUUUUUAUUAAGGUAUGUGUUUUAUGUUAAGUUAAAAUUGUGCCAGCAUCUGCGGUUAUACAAUUUAAUAAAAUUAAUUUUUUAAGUUUUAAUUUUAAAUUUUUGAGGUUUAAUCUAAAUUAUUUAGGUGAAAUUUUUAUUUUAUUUUUGCUUCUUUUUAUCAUCUUAGUAAAUUUUUAUUUUAAACCAGGAUUAGAUACCCUGUUAUUUCUUACUUACAAUAUCUUACUUUAACAUUAAUAGUUAUAUUCUAUUAAAUUUGAAUAAUUUGGCGGUAAUUUAUAAUUAGAGGAACCUGUCUUUUAAUUGAUACGCCACGAUAAGUAUUACUUUAAAUUUUAUUUGUAUAUCUCUAUUAUUUUGAGUAUUUUUAUUCUAAAGAAAGUUCUUUUUUUAAUAUUUAUUUUAUGUUAGGUCAAGGUGCAGUUAUUUUUUAGUUGCUGUGGGUUACUUUAAUUUUAAAUAUUUUUGAUCUUUAUUUUUUAAAUUUUGUGAAAUAGGAUUUGAUAGUAAUUUUGAAUUAUUUUUUAUUUUGAAUAUUAAUUUAAAUUAUGUACAUAUUGCCCGUCACUCUCAUUUAAGUUGAGAUAAGUCGUAACAAAGUAAUUUUACUGGAAAGUGUAGUUAGAAUAUUU